rnacentral:rRNA from 1 species
GAUGAACGCUGGCGGCGUGCCUAAUACAUGCAAGUCGAGCGAACAGACGAGGAGCUUGCUCCUCUGACGUUAGCGGCGGACGGGUGAGUAACACGUGGAUAACCUACCUAUAAGACUGGGAUAACUUCGGGAAACCGGAGCUAAUACCGGAUAAUAUAUUGAACCGCAUGGUUCAAUAGUGAAAGACGGUUUUGCUGUCACUUAUAGAUGGAUCCGCGCCGCAUUAGCUAGUUGGUAAGGUAGCGGCUUACCAAGGCAACGAUGCGUAGCCGACCUGAGAGCGUGAUCGGCCACACUGGAACUGAGACACGGUCCAGACUCCUACGGGAGGCAGCAGUAGGGAAUCUUCCGCAAUGGGCGAAAGCCUGACGGAGCAACGCCGCGUGAGUGAUGAAGGUCUUCGGAUCGUAAAACUCUGUUAUUAGGGAAGAACAAAUGUGUAAGUAACUAUGCACGUCUUGACGGUACCUAAUCAGAAAGCCACGGCUAACUGCGUG